rnacentral:rRNA from 1 species
UACGGAGGGUGCAAGCGUUAAUCGGAAUUACUGGGCGUAAAGCGCGCGUAGGUGGCUGCGUAAGUCGGAUGUGAAAGCCCCGGGCUUAACCUGGGAACUGCAUUCGAUACUGCGCGACUAGAGUAUGGUAGAGGGUAGUGGAAUUUCCUGUGUAGCGGUGAAAUACGUAGAUAUAGGAAGGAACACCAGUGGCGAAGGCGACUACCUGGACUGAUACUGACACUGAGGUGCGAAAGCGUGGGGAGCAAACAGGAUUAGAA